UUUUAACCCUGAUGGAAGUGGAAAUCCUUUUGCUUUUUUCUUUAAAAAGCAAAAGAUUGGAGCGGACAGCAGGAACCCAU
rnacentral:sRNA from 1 species